UUUUCAUGAGAAUUGAUUUAAUUGUGGUUUCAGUUAAUCAACUGUUUGAGUAAUUAAAAAGCAGAAAUAUUCAGAAAUAAUCAUUUUGAUUAAUUGAUCAGUUUAUGUGACACUACUUUAUUUAACCACUGCUCAGAGGUAUAUGAUUAGAUUGAUUGAUCACUUAAAUCACUGAACUGUAUUGUGGCAUCAAAAAAAAAAAUGUUACCUUGGAAGUAAAUAAUGGUAACCAUUUUUAUAAAACCAACAGAUUAGAAAAGGUAUGUUAUUUUCAUCCAGAAAUGGGAAAAUAUAUUUUUUCACCUUUAAAAUGAACUCACUGUAACAGAAUUCAAGAUCUGAUUAUUUUUAAAGUACAAUUAAACUUUGGCUUGGACCUAAUUUUAUCAUCAAAUUGUGUUAUGGCUUGUCUCAAUAAAUCAGAAUAUUGUUUUA